rnacentral:rRNA from 1 species
AGUGAAUAGAUACCCAGGUAGUCCCAGCUGUAAACCGAUGCGCGUUAGGUGUAUCGGUGACCACGAGUCACCGAGGUGCCGAAGGGAAACCGUGAAACCGUGCCGCCUGGGAAGUACGGUCGCAAGGCUGAAACUUAAAGGAAUUGGCGGGGGUAGCACCACAACAGGUGGAGCCUGCGGUUUAAUCGGACUCAACGCCGGGAAGCUCACCGGAUAAGACAGCUGAAUGAUAGCCGGGGUUGAAGACUCUGCUUGACUAGCUGAGAGGAGGUGCAUGGCCGUCGUCAGUUCGUACUGUGAAGCAUCCUGUUAAGUCAGGCAACGAGCGAGACCCACGCCAACAGUUGCCAGCAUGUCCUCC